ACCUGAAGGCAGCACAGCAUUGGGUCUUGCCCAAGGCCUGCUGUAACCCCUACCUGGCUACAACCUAUGUUCACUUAUGACCCUAGGGCUCUGCAGUCAGCAGGUGGUGAAGCCAGUCAGUAAGAAUUUGAAAUGAAGAAAGAACAAUACAAGCUGCAGACCACAUAAAAAAAAUGAUUCUUGAAAAAUCACCUAGGUUCCCAUGGCCAGGAGACUCUCUAAAAGCAAAAUCAAGCUUAUGACAGUCAAGCGAGCCUCUUCCCUCCUCCCGUCCUGGAUCUCAGGGUCUCUACUGUCCAGUCCAUUCUUCCUUCACGCCUAAAGCUGAAUUAGGUACAUCUCCCCGGUGUUCCCAAAGACGCUGAGGAUGCAGUUAUUGAAGCUGGUGCGCAUUUACAGACUCCUCCUCUUGGUGAAGGUUUUGUGCCAGACUCUGGUGACAAAGCAUUGUCCUCUCAGACUCAGUGGAAGAAGGAGACAGACACAUACCAGGGAUCGACAGCCGGAGUGUCAGGCUGUGACAGGCAGAAGAUUGUGUUUCCCCACCAUCCCUACACCAAACCCAGGGAAAAGAUAAGCUAACAGGCAGAUCUUCCUGUCACCAAACAUACAGAUCUACCUUCAACUUCAUGCUCCCAAUCCAAUGAAGACUUCAUCUAAUGUCUCUUCGGUAUGAGUGCAUGCUUCCUCCCUGGAACCUUCAUACAGGUAACUGUUGGGAGCAAUGACAUCCCAGUUUGUCCCUGGAAUGGCUGGAAAGGGUACGAUCUUAACUACUUAACAAUAUACAUACUGAUCCGUUGUGGAAUUAUUAAGGAAAAUACGUUGAAAUAGGUGGCAUUCUUGUCAAAGACAUAUAUGGAUGGCUAGAUGGGUAG